GCUGGAACCUCUCGGGGUUACAGCCUUGCUGAAUUAUUCACCCUUGUCUUUUGCGUACUUCUUGUUUCCUUGGUGGGUUCGCCCACCACUAGGACAAACAUAAACCUUUUGUAAUUGCAAUCAGCGUCAGUAACAAAUUAAUAAUUACAACUUUCAACAACGGAUCUCUUGGUUCUGGCAUCGAUGAAGAACGCAGCGAAAUGCGAUAAGUAGUGUGAAUUGCAGAAUUCAGUGAAUCAUCGAAUCUUUGAACGCACAUUGCGCCCUUUGGUAUUCCAAAGGGCAUGCCUGUUCGAGCGUCAUUUGUACCCUCAAGCUUUGCUUGGUGUUGGGCGUCUUGUCUCUAGCUUUGCUGGAGACUCGCCUUAAAGUAAUUGGCAGCCGGCCUACUGGUUUCGGAGCGCAGCACAAGUCGCACUCUCUAUCAGCAAAGGUCUAGCAUCCAUUAAGCCUUUUUUUCAACUUUUGACCUCGGAUCAGGUAGGGAUACC
rnacentral:rRNA from 1 species